rnacentral:rRNA from 1 species
AUUGAACGCUGGCGGCGUGCCUAACACAUGCAAGUCGAGCGGUAACAGGUGUAGCAAUACAUGCUGACGAGCGGCGGACGGGUGAGUAACGCUUGGGAAUCUGCCUAUUAGGUGGGGGACAACCCGGGGAAACUCGGGCUAAUACCGCAUACGCUCUACGGAGGAAAGCCGGGGACCGCAAGGCCUGGCGCUAAUAGAUGAGCCCAAGUCGGAUUAGCUAGUUGGUAGGGUAAUGGCCUACCAAGGCGACGAUCCGUAACUGGUCUGAGAGGACGACCAGUCACACCGGAACUGAGACACGGUCCGGACUCCUACGGGAGGCAGCA